rnacentral:rRNA from 1 species
GACGAACGCUGGCGGCGUGCUUAACACAUGCAAGUCGAACGGAAAGGCCCUGCGUUUGUGCGGUGCUGGAGUGGCGAACGGGUGAGUGUCACGUGUGUAACCUGCGCUUGACUUUGGGAUAACUUCAGGAAACUGGGGCUAAUAUAGUAUAGGAGAUCCUGCUGCAUGGUGGGGGUUGGAGAGUUUGGGCGGUUGGGGAUGGACUCGCGGGUUAUCAGCUUGUUGGUGGGGUAGUGGCUUACCAAGGCGUAGACGGGUAGGCGGCCUGAGAGGGUGAACGGCCACAAUGGGACUGAGAGACGGCCCAGACUCCUACGGGAGGCAGCAGUGGGGAAUAUUGCACAAUGGGCGGAAGCCUGAUGCAGCGACGCCGCGUGCGGGAUGACGGCCUUCGGGUUGUAAACCGCUUUCGGCUCUGACGAAGCGGGAGUGACGGUAAUGGGUGAAGAAGCACCGGCUAACUACGUG